rfam:Oryza meridionalis cultivar OR44 (W2112) chromosome 4, whole genome shotgun sequence.
AAUAAAAAAAAACUCUGGUUCCUGUGUCCAAGGUUUCACCGUCCGUCUUAUUGAAAAAAAUUAAAAAGAUAAGUCACGCAUAAAAUAUUAAUUAUGUUUUAUCAUCUAACAAUAAUAAAAAUACUAAUUAUAAAAAACUUUCAUAUAAGACGGACAGUCAAAUGUUAGACACGGAAACUCAGGUUUGUCUUCUUU